UGACCGAUAGCGUACGAGUACCGUGAGGGAAAGGUGAAAAGCACCCCGGGAGGGGAGUGAAAGAGUUCCUGAAACCGUGCGCCCGCGAACCGUCGGAGCCCCCUGGUGGGGUGACGGCGUGCCUAUCGAAAAAUGAGUCUGCGAGUCAGUGGCAUGUGGCGAGCAUAAGCCGUGUGGUGUAUGCGUAGCGAAAGCGAGUCUUAAAAGGCGUUUUGAGUCGCGUGUCCUGGACCCGAAGCGGGAUGAUCUAGCCCUGGUCAGGUUGAAGCGUGGGUAAGACCGCGUGGAGGACCGCACCCACUUAGGUUGAAAACUGAGGGGAUGAACUGGGGUUAGGGGUGAAAGGCCAAUCAAAUUCCGUGAUAGCUGGUUCUCUUCGAAAUGCAUUUAGGUGCAGCGUCGGUUGAUUGCGUGUGGGGGGUAGAGCUACUGGAUGCUUGCGGGCCCGUACCGGGUACCAACAGCAACCAAACUCCGAAUACCCAUCGCGUCUAUUCCGGCAGUGAGUCGGCGGGGGAUAAGCUCCGUCGUCGAGGGGGAGACAGCCCUGACCGUCGUCUAAGGUCCCCAAGCGCGUGCUAAGUGGGAAAGGAUGUGGAGUCGCAUAGACAGCCAGGAGGUUGGCUCAGAAGCAGCCAUCCUUGAAAGAGUGCGUAACAGCUCACUGGUCUAGUGGUUCCGCGCCGACAAUGUAGCGGGGCUCAAGCACGCCACCGAAGACGCGGAUGCAACGUUGUGUUGCGUGGUAGGAGAGCGUCCCACACCGGGGCGAAGCGGCGGGGGAACCCGGCCGUGGACUGUGUGGGAGUGAGAAUGCAGACAUGAGUAGCGAGAGCAGGGUGAGGAUCCCUGCCGCUGGAAGACCAAGGGUUCCAGGGCCACGUUCGUCGUCCCUGGGUGAGUCGGGUCCUAAGGCGAGGCCGACAGGCGUAGUCGAAUGGAUGAACGGGUCGAUAUUCCCGUACCGGCUUUCGGACCGACCAGCAGCCCGUGUGAACAAGGGCCAUCCGAUACGGUUGAUGGGGGCUUCGGCCUUCUGAUUCCGUUGCUGUUUGGCCUGGACGCGCAUGGGUUGAGCGUUUCAGGAGUGACGCGGACGGGUAGCCGGCCGGGGAGGUGGUUUUCCCUGGUCAAGCGUGUGGCCCCGCCCCCAGGCAAAUCCGGGGGCAUGAUGGGGUGAGGCGUGAUGAUGGGCGCUGUUCAGGCGUGAUAUCCGGUGAUCCCGUCGGCCGAGAAAAGCUUCGGCGCGAGGUCCGUUGCCGCCCGUACCCCAAACCGACACAGGUGGUCUGGUAGAGUAUACCGAAGCGAUCGAGCGAAUCCUGGUCAAGGAACUCGGCAAAUUGCUCCCGUGCCUUCGGCAUAAGGGAGACCCCCGGCGGUUCCGGCCCCGUUCGCGGGCCGCGGGCGGCUGGGGGUGGCACAGGCCAGGGGGUAGCGACUGUUUACCAAAAACACAGGUGCAUGCCAAGACGCAAGUCGCCGUAUAUGCACUGACGCCUGCCCGGUGCCGGAAGGUUAAGAGGAUCCAUCAGCGUCCCCUCGCGGGAUGCGAAGUGGUGAAUUCAAGCCCCGGUAAACGGCGGUGGUAACUAUAACCAUCCUAAGGUAGCGAAAUUCCUUGUCGGGUAAGUUCCGACCUGCACGAAUGGCGUAACGACUUCCCCGCUGUCUCGACCAGGAGCUCGGCGAAAUUGCAGUACGAGUAAAGAUGCUCGUUAAGCGCAGAAGGACGAAAAGACCCCGGGACCUUUACUAUACCUUGGUAUUGGCAUCAGGUGCGGAUUGUGUAGCAUAGGCGGGAGGCUUCGAAGCCACGGCGCCAGCCGUGGUGGAGCCGGCCAGUGAAAUACCGCUCUGUCCCCAUCUGAUGCCUAACCCGGACAAGUGAGCCUUGUCGGGGAGAGUGCCUGGCGGGUAGUUUAACUGGGGCGGUUGCCUCCCAAAGAGUAACGGAGGCGCUCAAAGGUCCGCUCGGCCCGGUUGGCAAUCGGGUGUCGAGUGUAAUCGCACAAGCGGGCUUGACUGCGAGAUCGACGGAUCGAGCAGGGACGAAAGUCGGAGAUAGUGAUCCGGUGCCGGCGUACGGACGCGGCAUCGCUCAACGGAUAAAAGGUACCCCGGGGAUAACAGGCUGAUCAUUCCCAAGAGUCCAUAUCGACGGGAUGGUUUGGCACCUCGAUGUCGGCUCGUCGCAUCCUGGGGCUGGAGCAGGUCCCAAGGGUUCGGCUGUUCGCCGAUUAAAGCGGCACGCGAGCUGGGUUCAGAACGUCGUGAGACAGUUUGGUCUCUAUCCUCUGCGCUCGUUGGAAUCCUGAGGAGGCCUGCCCAUAGUACGAGAGGACCUGGGUGGACGAACCUCUGGUAUGCCAGUUGUCCCGCCAGGGGCACGGCUGGUUGGCCACGUUCGGGAGGGAUAACCGCUGAAAGCAUCUAAGCGGGAAGCCCGCUCCAAGA
rnacentral:rRNA from 1 species